ACACAUUUCCAGCCUCAUCCUUUAUUUUUGGAAGAAUUAAUUCUAUAUUCUCUUCUAAGUAGUUCAGAUACAUGGUGUGACAGGGUCAGGCCAGAUGGCUACAGGAGAGUGAUAGAAGGCAGAUAUAUUAGCCCCACGUUAAGUAGAUCCCUUUUCCCUGGGUAAGGUAAUAGGGAAGGUUUUUUUUUUUUUUUUUUUUU